rnacentral:rRNA from 1 species
UACGUAGGGGGCAAGCGUUAUCCGGAUUUACUGGGUGUAAAGGGAGCGCAGACGGCGAUGCAAGUCUGGAGUGAAAGCCCGGGGCUCAACCCCGGGACUGCUUUGGAAACUGUAUGGCUAGAGUGCUGGAGAGGCAAGCGGAAUUCCUAGUGUAGCGGUGAAAUGCGUAGAUAUUAGGAAGAACACCAGUGGCGAAGGCGGCUUGCUGGACAGUAACUGACGUUCAGGCUCGAAAGCGUGGGGAGCAAACAGG